rnacentral:rRNA from 1 species
UACGUAGGGUGCGAGCGUUAAUCGGAAUUACUGGGCGUAAAGCGUGCGCAGGCGGUUUUGUAAGCCAGAUGUGAAAGCCCCGGGCUUAACCUGGGAAUGGCAUUUGGGACUGCAAGGCUUGAGUGCGGCAGAGGAGACUGGAAUUCCCGGUGUAGCAGUGAAAUGCGUAGAUAUCGGAAGGAAGACCAGUGGCGAAGGCGAGUCUCUGGACAGUUACUGACGCUGAGGCACGAAGGCCAGGGGAGCAAACGGG